GCGGGAGUGGCGGAAUUGGCAGACGCGCUAGACUUAGGAUCUAGUGCCACUAGGCGUGGGGGUUCGAGUCCCUUUUCCCGCACCA
rnacentral:tRNA from 1 species